rnacentral:rRNA from 1 species
UACAGAGGGUGCGAACGUUGUUCGGAAUUAUUGGGCGUAAAGCGCGUGUAGGCGGCCAACUAAGUCGGGUGUGAAAGCCCUCAGCUCAACUGAGGAAGUGCGCCCGAGACUGGAUGGCUUGAGUGCUGGAGAGGGUGGCGGAAUUCCCCAAGUAGAGGUGAAAUUCGUAGAGAUGGGGAGGAACACCGGAGGCGAAGGCGGCCACCUGGACGGUAACUGACGCUGAGACGCGAAAGCGUGGGGAGCAAACAAG